AAGGAGCAACCCUGACCAAGCUCAAUACCCUCUCCUGCAAAUAUGAUCGAAAUACAUUGGGAAUAGUAUCGCCACUGUUAAUUUACCCUUCAGCAAGACAGCUAAAGGUGUCUCCACACCUGGUCCAAAUAUACAGGCAGGGUAUUUGCACAAAACCAAGAAGCCGUGGAGCAUGCUCUGUGCAGGCUGGCUACAUUUGGGCUCUACAGGACGCCGUUGUUGGAUGGCGAGGCCGGGCGUCGCUCACGUGUCGCUGCUCACCAAGGAGCAGCUGCUGUGUGGGUGAGGAGGAUGGAAAAAGGAGACAAGCUGAGGUCUCAUGCAGGCACGCAGCAGGGAUUCACCUUCCUGACACUUCACAGGGAGCUUUCUUAUACUGACACUAUGAAAGGAGCAAGGCACUGACGCACACACUCCUGGGAGCUGCUUGGUAUGAUUUAUGCUAUUGGAUACAGACAAACAA